rnacentral:lncRNA from 1 species
UAAAAGUAGUAGACUCAUAACACUCAUUAGGGAGAUCAAUCCGAUAAGCAUUUAUCAUUGAUUUUCUCCAACACUUGAAAUGGUCCAUCACCUCUCGGAUCCAACUUUGACUUUUAUCGUUUUAGAAACCUUUUCUUGCACAUAUGUACCCAAACCCAAUCUCCAAGUUCACAUAGAACUUGUUUUCACCCUUUAUUAGCCCUUUAAACAUAAAUAUGGUUCUUCUUUUUAACU